rnacentral:rRNA from 1 species
UACAGAGGUCUCGAGCGUUAGGCGGAAUCACUGGGCUUAAAGCGUGUGUAGGCGGGUCGUUAAGUGUCUUGUGAAAUCCCCCGGCUCAACCGGGGAAUGGCUGGGCAUACUGGCGAUCUUGAGCAGUUCAGGGGCAGAUGGAACAAGUGGUGGAGCGGUGAAAUGCGUAGAUAUCACUUGGAACGCCAAAGGUGAAAACAGUCUGCUGGGAACUUGCUGACGCUGAGACACGAAAGCCAGGGGAGCGAACGGG